CCCAACGUGGAGUAAAAAGAUGGAAAAAACUCUCCCCUCUCCGGCGCUGACCUGAAACUAUAAACCAAAAGGGUGUUUCCCUAUUUAAUAUAUGCAAAGAAGGCGUUCUGCUCUUCGACCAAUUAGAACUCCCUCAGGCCCCUAAAGAAAGUUGGGACUUCCUGAUUUAUAGCAAAGGUGUCUGUUUUUUUUAUCUAAGCAAAAGGCGAACUACCCCGUGGUCAUCUCUGCCUGAUACGGAAGAUCUCUGGCGCCAAGAAGUCUCUGACCCCUUUCGGGCUGUAAAUUUUAUUGCUCUGUGUGUGGGGGAGGCAAAAGGGCCCUGCUUUGUUUGAAUGUCUGCUAUUGUGAGCUCCCUCAUGCUCCACAGAAAACUGUUCCAAUAAAGUGUUGACUUUCCCUUUACACAUGUCAUAAGAUUAAGUGUAUUUUUAGCAUUAAAUAAUCAUUUUCCUUAGCACCUGCUACACGUCAACA